rnacentral:lncRNA from 1 species
CCCUGCCUCACAUCCGUUUGUGGUUUGUAAAGAGAGAGAGGAGAGGAAAAAAAAAAAAAUCUCUUCCAAAAAAGCACCGGUCUGCAGAUGUCUGCGAGAGAACCCACGAACCCUCCUUCUUCUACGGCAGGGCAGAUGUCUUUUGCUGCAGAUUUUUUUUGUUUUCGUUUAUAUUCACAAGGUUUCUGUGAAGAGAGGGAUGUUUCUUAAAUCUCCAGGCAAGCAUUUUCCGCACAUUUACCUGCUCCUGUGCACUUUUGCUCCAUGAUGGAUCCACGCUGUGGUAU